rnacentral:rRNA from 2 species
UACGUAGGGUGCGAGCGUUAAUCGGAAUUACUGGGCGUAAAGCGUGCGCAGGCGGUUACUUAAGUCAGGUGUGAAAGCCCUGGGCUUAACCUAGGAAUUGCGCUUGAGACUGGGUAGCUUGGAGUGUGGCAGAGGGAGGUGGAAUUCCACGUGUAGCAGUGAAAUGCGUAGAGAUGUGGAGGAACACCGAUGGCGAAGGCAGCCUCCUGGGCCAGCACUGACGCUCAUGCACGAAAGCGUGGGGAGCAAACAGG